UACGUAGGGGGCAAGCGUUGUCCGGAUUUAUUGGGCGUAAAGAGCGUGUAGGCGGCUUGGUAGGUCUGCUGUGAAAACUCGGGGCUCAACCCCGAGACGUCGGUGGAAACCACCUGGCUAGAGUCCGGAAGAGGAGAAUGGAAUUCCCGGUGUAGCGGUGAAAUGCGCAGAUAUCGGGAGGAACACCGGUGGCGAAGGCGGUUCUCUGGGCCUGUACUGACGCUGAGGAGCGAAAGCGUGGGGAGCGAACAGG
rnacentral:rRNA from 1 species